GAUGAACGCUGGCGGCGUGCCUAAUACAUGCAAGUCGAGCGAAUGGAUUAAGAGCUUGCUCUUAUGAAGUUAGCGGCGGACGGGUGAGUAACACGUGGGUAACCUGCCCAUAAGACUGGGAUAACUCCGGGAAACCGGGGCUAAUACCGGAUAACAUUUUGAACCGCAUGGUUCGAAAUUGAAAGGCGGCUUCGGCUGUCACUUAUGGAUGGACACGCGUCGCAUUAGCUAGUUGGUGAGGUAACGGCUCACCAAGGCAACGAUGCGUAGCCGACCUGAGAGGGUGAUCGGACACACUGGGACUGGGACACGGCCCAGACUCCUACGGGAGGCAGCAGUAGGGAAUCUUCCGCAAUGGACGAAAGUCUGACGGAGCAACGCCGCGUGAGUGAUGAAGGCUUUCGGGUCGUAAAACUCUGUUGUUAGGGAAGAACAAGUGCUAGUUGAAUAAGCUGGCACCUUGACGGUACCUAACCAGAAAGCCACGGCUAACUACGUGCCAGCCGCCGCGGUAA
rnacentral:rRNA from 1 species